UCCGUAAAUGAGACUACAGCUCACCG
rnacentral:tRNA from 1 species